rnacentral:rRNA from 1 species
GCGGAGGAAAAGAAACCAACAGGGAUUGCCUCAGUAACGGCGAGUGAAGCGGCAACAGCUCAAAUUUGAAAUCUGACCCCUUCGCGGCCCGAGUUGUAAUUUGUAGAGGGUGUUUCGGGCGCGGCGCCGGUCUAAGUUCCUUGGAACAGGACGUCAUAGAGGGUGAGAAUCCCGUAUGUGACCGGCGAUCAAGCCCAUGUGAAGCCCCUUCGACGAGUCGAGUUGUUUGGGAAUGCAGCUCAAAAUGGGUGGUAAAUUCCAUCUAAAGCUAAAUAUUGGCCGGAGACCGAUAGCGGACAAGUAGAGUGAUCGAAAGAUGAAAAGCACUUUGGAAAGAGAGUCAAACAGUACGUGAAAUUGUUGAAAGGGAAGCGCUUGCGACCAGACCGGUCCGGGGGUGAUCAGCCGCUGCUCGUCAGCUGGUGCACUCGCCCUCGAUCCGGCCAGCAUCGGUUUGGGCGGUGGGAGAAAAGCCCCGGGAAUGUAGCUUCUUUCGGGGAGUCUUAUAGCCCGGGGCGCAAUGCCGCCCGCCCGGACCGAGGACCGCGCUUCGGCUAGGAUGCUGGCGUAAUGGUCGCAAGCGACCCGUCUUGAAACACGGACCAAGGAGUCUAACAUCUAUGCGAGUGUUUGGGUGUCAAACCCGGGCGCGGAAUGAAAGUGAACGGAGGUGGGAGCCCGUCGCACGGCGCACCAUCGACCGAUCCAGAUGUUUUCGGAUGGAUUUGAGUAUGAGCAUAGCUGUUGGGACCCGAAAGAUGGUGAACUAUGCCCGGAUAGGGUGAAGCCAGAGGAAACUCUGGUGGAGGCUCGCAGCGGUUCUGACGUGCAAAUCGAUCGUCAAAUCUAGGCAUAGGGGCGAAAGACCA